rnacentral:rRNA from 1 species
AUUGAACGCUCGCGGGAUGCUUUACACAUGCAAGUCGAACGGCAGCGCGGACUUCGGUCUGGCGGCGAGUGGCGAACGGGUGAGUAAUGUAUCGGAACGUGCCCAGUAGCGGGGGAUAACUACGCGAAAGCGUAGCUAAUACCGCAUACGCCCUACGGGGGAAAGCAGGGGAUCGUAAGACCUUGCACUAUUGGAGCGGCCGAUAUCGGAUUAGCUAGUUGGUGAGGUAACGGCUCACCAAGGCGACGAUCCGUAGCUGGUUUGGGAGGACGACCAGCCACACUGGGACUGAGACACGGCCCAGACUCCUACGGGAGGCAGCAGUGGGGAAUUUUGGACAAUGGGGGCAACCCUGAUCCAGCCAUCCCGCGUGUGCGAUGAAGGCCUUCGGGUUGUAAAGCACUUUUGGCAGGAAAGAAACGUCGCGGGCUAAUACCCCGUGGAACUGACGGUACCUGCAGAAUAAGCACCGGCUAACUACGUG